rnacentral:rRNA from 1 species
UACGGAGGUUCCGAGCGUUAUCCGGAUUUAUUGGGUUUAAAGGGUGCGUAGGCGGCCUGUUAAGUCAGGGGUGAAAGACGGUAGCUCAACUAUCGCAGUGCCCUUGAUACUGAUGGGCUUGAAUGUACUAGAGGUAGGCGGAAUGUGACAAGUAGCGGUGAAAUGCAUAGAUAUGUCACAGAACACCAAUUGCGAAGGCAGCUUACUAUGGUAUAAUUGACGCUGAGGCACGAAAGCGUGGGGAUCAAACAGG